rnacentral:rRNA from 1 species
CCUACGGGUGGCAGCAGUGAGGAAUAUUGGUCAAUGGACGGAAGUCUGAACCAGCCAUGCCGCGUGCAGGAAGACGGCCCUAUGAGUUGUAAACUGCUUUUGUACAAGGGAAAAGCUGAAUACGUGUAUUCAGCUGAAAGUACUGUACGAAUAAGGAUCGGCUAACUCCGUGCCAGCAGCCGCGGUAAUACGGAGGAGCCAAGCUUUAUCCGGAUUUAUUGGGUUGAAAGGGGGCGUAGGUGGAUUGAUAAGUUCGAGGUGAAAGGUCCGCGCUUAACUCGGGAACUGCCUCUCAUACUGUUGAUCUAGAGUGUAGUUGCGGUAGGCGGAAUGUCUGGUGUAGCGG